CCCAGUGAGUAUAUUAAAUGGCUGCAACGAGAGUUGUACUAAGGUAGCGCGAUAAUUUGUCUCUUAAUUAGAGAAUGGUAUGAAGGGUUAGACGUGGGAUUAUUGUCUCUAAAAAAAAUAGUUAAGUUUCCUUUUAAAUGAAAAGGUUUAAAUUUAUUAAAAGACGAGAAGACCCUGUCGAGCUUAAUUAAAUAAAAAACUAGAUAUGGUUAAAUGAAAAGUGUUAAUAGUUUAAUUGUUGGCUGAGUUUUUAAUUGAAGUUUAGUUGGGGAGAGCUGAGUUUAAGGUAAUAAACUUAAGAAAUACUAAAGAUCCUCUUUGAGAGAAGUUAGCAAAAGCUACCGCAGGGAUAACAGCGUAAUUCUUUUUAAGAGAUCUUAUUGAGGGAAGAGUUUGCGACCUCGAUGUUGGAUUAGAAAAACUUUUUGGUGUAGCAGCUAGAAGUUGUAAGACUGUUCGUCUUUUAAUUUUCU
rnacentral:rRNA from 1 species